UCCCGUCUGUGUCUGAGCGAAGGCGUUAAGUGCACCGCCUGGGGACUACGACCGCAAGAGCUAAAACUCAAAGGAAUCGACGGGGGCCCGCACAAGCGGUGGAGCAUGUGGCUCAAUUCGAGGCAACGCGAAGAACCUUACCUGGGUUUGACAUAUACCGGACCGCCGGUGAGAGCCGGUUUCUCUUUGACCAGGUAUACAGGUGCUGCAUGGCUGUCAGACAGCUCGUGCUGUGAAGUGUUCGGUUAAGUCCGGCAACGAGCGCAACCCACGCUGUUAGUUACCAUCAGGUAAUGCUGGGGACUGUAAUCAGGACUGCCCGUGCUAAGCGGGAGUAAGGCGUGGACGACGUCAAGUCCGCAUGGCCCUUACGCCCAGGGCUGCACACGUGCUACAACUGGCCGGUACAGAGGCUCGCCACUCUGCGAAGAGGAGCUAAUCCCGAUAACCGGCCCCAGUUCUGGAUUGGAGUCUGCAACCCGACUCCAUGAAGUAGGAAUCGCUAGUAAAGGCGUAUCAGCAU
rnacentral:rRNA from 1 species